AACGAACGCUGGCGGCAUGCCUAACACAUGCAAGUCGAACGAUCCCUUCGGGGAUAGUGGCGCACGGGUGCGUAACGCGUGGGAACCUGCCCUUAGGUUCGGAAUAACUCAGAGAAAUUUGAGCUAAUACCGGAUAAUGUCUUCGGACCAAAGAUUUAUCGCCUUUGGAUGGGCCCGCGUUGGAUUAGCUAGUUGGUGGGGUAAAGGCCUACCAAGGCGACGAUCCAUAGCUGGUCUGAGAGGAUGAUCAGCCACACUGGGACUGAGACACGGCCCAGACUCCUACGGGAGGCAGCAGUGGGGAAUAUUGGACAAUGGGCGAAAGCCUGAUCCAGCAAUGCCGCGUGAGUGAUGAAGGCCUUAGGGUUGUAAAGCUCUUUUACCCGGGAUGAUAAUGACAGUACCGGGAGAAUAAGCCCCGGCUAACUCCAUG
rnacentral:rRNA from 1 species